rnacentral:rRNA from 1 species
AUUGAACGCUGGCGGCAGGCUUAACACAUGCAAGUCGAGCGAGUGGCGGACGGGUGAGUAAUGUCUGGGAAACUGCCUGAUGGAGGGGGAUAACUACUGGAAACGGUAGCUAAUACCGCAUACCAUCGGAUGUGCCCAGAGGGGAUUAGCGAGUAGGGGGGGUAAAGGCUCACCUAGGCGACGAUCCCUAGCUGGUCUGAGAGGAUGACCAGCCACACUGGAACGGGGACACGGUCCAGACUCCUACGGGAGGCAGCAGUGGGGAAUAUUGCACAAUGGGCGCAAGCCUGAUGCAGCCAUGCCGCGUGUAUGAAGAAGGCCGUCGGGUUGUAAAGUACUUUCAGCGGGGAGGCGUUACCCGCAGAAGAAGCACCGGCUAACUCCGUGCCAGCAGCCGCGGUAAUUC